UCUCCGUUGGUGAACCAGCGGAGGGACCAUUACCGAGUUAUUCUACUCCCAAACCCCUGUGAACUUAUACCUUUACUGUUGCUUCGGCGGGUUAACGCCCCGGAAGGCCCGCGUGGGCCGCCGGAACCAGGCGCCCGCCGGGGGACCCAAACUCUUGUAUCUUUUUUAUAGCAUGUCUGAGUGGAAUCAUAAACAAAUGAAUCAAAACUUUCAACAACGGAUCUCUUGGUUCUG
rnacentral:misc_RNA from 1 species